rnacentral:rRNA from 1 species
UACGAAGGGGGCUAGCGUUGCUCGGAAUUACUGGGCGUAAAGCGCACGUAGGCGGUCUUUUAAGUCGGGGGUGAAAUCCUGGAGCUCAACUCCAGAACUGCCUUCGAUACUGGAAGACUUGAGUCCGGGAGAGGUGAGUGGAACUGCGAGUGUAGAGGUGAAAUUCGUAGAUAUUCGCAAGAACACCAGUGGCGAAGGCGGACUCACUGGCCCG